UCCCUGGUGGCUCAGAUGGUAAAGCGUCUGCCUGUGAUGUGGGAGACCCGGGUUCAAUCCCUGGGUUGGGAA
rfam:Ovis aries breed Texel chromosome 2, whole genome shotgun sequence.